CCUACGGGUGGCAGCAGUGGGGAAUAUUGCACAAUGGGGGAAACCCUGAUGCAGCGACGCCGCGUGAGUGAAGAAGUAUUUCGGUUUGUAAAGCUCUAUCAGCAGGGAAGAAAAUGACGGUACCUGAUUAAGAAGCUCCGGCUAACUACGUGCCAGCAGCCGCGGUAAUACGUAGGGUGCAAGCGUUAUCCGGAGUUACUGGGUGUAACGUGAGAGUAGACGGCAGAACAAGUCUGGAGUGAAAUGCCGGGGCUUAACCCCGGAACUGCUUUGGAGACUGUGCAGCUAGAGUGCAUGAGAGGGAAGUGGAAUUCCUAGUGUAGCGGUGAAAUGCGUAGAUAUUAGGAGGAACACCAGUGGCGAAGGCAGCUUACUGGAAUGUAACUGACGUUGAGGCUCGAAAGCGUGGGGAGCAAACAGGAUUAGAUACCCUUGUAGUC
rnacentral:rRNA from 1 species